AGUAAGAAGUGGCGCACGGGUGAAGUAACACGUAGGUAAUCUACCUUUGGAUGGGGAAUAACAACCGGAAACGGUUGCUAAUACCGCAUAAUGCAGCGGCACCUAAUGGUGACAGUUGUUAAAGCGGGGGAUCGAAAGACCUCGCGUCUGAAGAGGAGCCUGCGGCGGAUUAUCUAGUUGGUAAGGUAAUGGCUUACCAAGGCUACAAUCCGUAACCGGCCUGAGAGGGCGGUCGGUCACACUGACACUGACAUACGGGUCAGACUCCUACGGGAGGCAGCAGUCGGGAAUUUUGGGCAAUGGGCGAAAGCCUGACCCAGCAACGCCGCGUGAAGGAUGAAAUCCCUCGGGAUGUAAACUUCUCAAGAACGGGAAGAAUAAGCGAGAGUUAAUAUCUUUCGUGAUGACGGUACCGUUUGUAAGCUCCGGCUAACUCCGUGCCAGCAGCCGCGGUAAUACGGGGGGAGCAAGCGUUGUUCGGAUUUACUGGGCGUAAAGGGCGCGUAUGCGGUCAGCACAAGUCAGUUGUGAAAUCUCCGAGCUUAACUCGGAAAGGUCAACUGAUACUGUGCGACUAGAGUGCACAAGGGGCAACUGGAAUUCUUGGUGUAUCGGUGAAAUGCGUAUAUAUCAAGAGGAACACCUGCGGCGAAGGCGGGUUGCUGGGCUGACACUGACGCUGA
rnacentral:rRNA from 1 species